rnacentral:rRNA from 1 species
GCCCAGACUCCUACGGGAGGCAGCAGUGAGGAAUAUUGGUCAAUGGGCGGAAGCCUGAACCAGCCAAGUCGCGUGAGGGAUUAAGGCCCUGCGGGUCGUAAACCUCUUUUGCCGGGGAGCAGAGGUCCGGACGUGUCCGGGCCGGGAGAGUACCCGGAGAAAAAGCAUCGGCUAACUCCGUGCCAGCAGCCGCGGUAAUACGGAGGAUGCGAGCGUUAUCCGGAUUUAUUGGGUUUAAAGGGUGCGUAGGCGGAACAUUAAGUCAGCGGUAAAAUCGAGGGGCUCAACCCCUUUAAGCCGUUGAAACUGGUGAUCUUGAGUGGGCGAGAAGUAUGCGGAAUGCGUGGUGUAGCGGUGAAAUGCAUAGAUAUCACGCAGAACUCCGAUUGCGAAGGCAGCAUACCGGCGCCCGACUGACGCUGAGGCACGAAAGCGUGGGGAUCGAACAGGAUUAGAUACCCUGGUAGG